UACAGAGGUCUCAAGCGUUGUUCGGAUUCAUUGGGCGUAAAGAGCUCGUAGGUGGUUCGGUAAGUCAGGUGUGAAACCUCCAGGCUCAACCUGGAGACGCCACUUGAUACUGCCGUGACUGGAGUCCGGUAGGGGAGCGUGGAAUUCCUGGUGUAGCGGUGAAAUGCGCAGAUAUCAGGAGGAACACCAGCGGCGAAGGCGGCGCUCUGGGCCGGUACUGACACUGAGGAGCGAAAGCGUGGGUAGCAAACAGG
rnacentral:rRNA from 1 species